rnacentral:ncRNA from 1 species
ACAUUUUAGUAUUUAAUUAUGGUACAUCUAUAUAGGUGUCUAGGUAUUUAACACAUGCAAGUUGAAUGAUUUUAUAAAUCAUGGCGUACGGGUCAGUAAUGUUGAGGAUGGGCCUUAGAGAUCAUAGAAAUAAUGAUUAAUCAAAGGAAUAAUUUCCGCUCUAAGAUAAUCUCAAUACCCAGUUAGGUAGUUGGAAUGGUAAAAGCUUUACAAGCCGAUCAUGGGGAAUGUUGAAUGAAAGUUUUUAACAUGAUAGUGGAAAUGAAAAAUUCCAAAAUGUCUUUAGACAUGCAGCAGUGAAGAAUAUUGGUCAAUGCGCUAAAGCGUGAACCAGUGACCUAGAUUUUAUUACAUCAGCAAUGUAAUAAAUAAUAAUUUUAAAUGAUGAUUAAAAUUAAUAUAAGUCCUGUCUAAUACCCGUGCCAGCAGAAGCGGUUAUACGGGAAGGGCGACCUAUUGGAGAUAUAAGUGGGUGUAAAGGGUACGUAGCCGGUUCUUAAUAUGAUAAGAACUUGAAUUUGAUAGACGUAAACAACAAUACCUUAAGGAGUGCUGAUAUGCUAUCCUUUAUACGGGAGUGCUCAGUGGCGAAGGCAUGUUACCAGGUACAAAUUGACGGCCAGAGUACGAAGGCAUUGGACUAAAAAGGGAUUAGAGACCCCAGUAUUCUUUGCUGUAAACGAUGCAAACCAAUUGUUAGUUAUUUAUUGCUAAUGAUGAUUUUAACAAGUUAAGUUUGCCUCCUGUAGAGUAUGGCUACAUUGCUGGAAUACAAAUAAUUAGACGGCUUUAAAGCAAACGGAGUGGAGCAUGUUAUUUAAUUCGAUUAUCCGCGAAAAAUCUUACCACAUCUCGAAUACUUAAAUAUAUUUUAUUAUAUUUUUGUACAGGUAUUGCAUGGUUGUCGUCAGUUAGUGCUAGUGAGGCGUAAGGUUAAUUCCACUUUAUAAAAACUAACGCGAUCCUAGUUAUAAAUUUAGACUUUAUAACACCUAGAUAUUUUAUCUAAACCAUAUAUAUUAAUUUAUAUAUACCCUAUAUUUUAUUUUUCGCAUUUAUUAUGUGCUCUGAUGAGGGGUAGGUUUCUUAGGAUUAUGACAAAUCAUGAUGAUCCUUAUGAUGUGGGCUAUAGACGUGCUACAAGAAUAAUGAACAAAAUGAUGCAAAUUCGUAAGAAUGAGCUAAACAUUAAACAUUAUUGGUAACGGAUUGUAGGCUGGAAUUCCCCUAAAUGAAGAAGGAAUUUCGAGUAAUCGUGAAUUAGAAUGUCACGGUGAAGACAAAUCUUUAAAGUGUACUAACUGCUCAUCACAGGAUGAAAGAUCUUGUGGGAUGAAAUUGGGCCCGAUAAGUAAACUAUAUCUUAAGGUCAUACACUUAUUUAUAUAAGUAAUGUUUACAAGUCAGGAGGUAUGAAUUCUACGGAUUGAUUAUUUUGAAGUUGAAACAAGGUUGUGCUAGGGGAACCUGGCGCAGAUAGUUAAUAUUA